UGAUAAGUGCUGAAUAAUUUAUAAUUUAGUUAUCUUUUCAUAGCACUUAUCAAUGUUCUUAAACUAAUAAAUACAUACUUUACCAUAAAAUUGAAUAAACAUUGAAAUAAAUUUAAAAUAUGGUAAGAGGUAAAUAAUUCUUUUCUCAAAACAGACUUUGAACUUGUCUCUCUCCUGGUUGCAAUCUUUCAUGAAAACUACAGAAAAACAUAUAAGAAGAUUGUGUUGACCCGACUAAGGUUAUAAUUAAAUGGGCUUUGGUCCUGGUUAGAUUGAAAGUUAUAAUUGUAUGGAAAAAUAUUUGAUUAACCCUUUUAUUAAGUCACGGUCUUAUUUAUCUGGUCGAGUUCAGUCUGAA
rnacentral:lncRNA from 1 species